AUACUGCAGGUCUUGAGUCAUGGUGGGGUUGCCGGAACAUGUGGUGUAGCGGUGAAAUGCAUAGAUAUCACAUAGAACACCGAUCGCGAAGGCAGGUGACCAACCAUGUACUGACGCUGAUGGACGAAAGCGUGGGUAGCGAACGGGAUUAGAUACCCCGGUAGUCCACGCCGUAAACGAUGGAUACUAGCUGUGGGGACUUCGGUCUCCGUGGCCAAGCGAAAGUGAUAAGUAUCCCACCUGGGGAGUACGUUCGCAAGAAUGAAACUCAAAGGAAUUGACGGGGGCCCGCACAAGCGGUGGAGCAUGUGGUUUAAUUCGAUGAUACGCGAGGAACCUUACCAGGGCUUAAAUGCAGGCUGCAUGGGGUAGAGAUACCCCUUUCUUCGGACCGCCUGCAAGGUGCUGCAUGGUUGUCGUCAGCUCGUGCCGUGAGGUGUCAGGUUAAGUCCUAUAACGAGCGCAACCCCUACCGUUAGUUGCCAGCAUGUCAAGAUGGGGACUCUAACGGGACUGCCGGUGCAAACCGUGAGGAAGGUGGGGACGACGUCAAAUCAUCACGGCCCUUACGUCCUGGGCUACACACGUGCUACAAUGGCCGGUACAGAGGGAAGCCACCCCGCAAGGGGGCGCGGAUCUACAAAACCGGUCACAGUUCGGAUCGGGGUCUGCAACUCGACCCCGUGAAGCUGGAAUCGCUAGUAAUCGGAUAUCAGCCAUGAUCCGGUGAAUACGUUCCCGGGCCUUGUACACACCGCCCGUCAAGCCAUGGAAGCCGGGAGUGCCUGAAGUCCGUCACCGAGAGG
rnacentral:rRNA from 1 species